ACUCAACAUACACUAUAAAAUUAUAAUUUCAAAUUACAAUAUACACUUAUAAUUCACAAAUAUACAAAUACAUCAAAAGAUCCUAUAAAUCAGAAUCAAGUGCGAAAAUAUCCAUUGAUAAUGCUACUUAUUCAUCAAGUGGCGUCCAUCCUCACAUGGAGUGGGCCCACUUUGAAUAAAUUAUAUUUUAUUUGAAGCGAGCCCCUUCCAUGUGAGGGGUUGGACACUAGGGUGGACACCCAAUAGACAUGUAGCAUGACCCAAUAUCGACAACCAUCUUUUCCCUCAAUCUAUUCAUAUGGAAGCAAUUGAUCUCGUUCUACUGAACAAUCGAUGCUCAAGAAUUCUUUAUAUUUUACUAUAUACAUACCACAAUCACCCCUGAAAAAAAAAAUAAUGGUAAACAAUGUGAAAUAACCUAUUGAAUAUGAAUAAGUGAAAAAUAUACAUAUGUACAUUUCUACCAUUUCCUUCCAAAUGACAAGAUUAUUUAUAGUGUUUGCUUUCUAUAAGGAAAGAUGGCAAGCUAUAUAACAUGAAAUUUCAACACUCUUCCAAGAUUAAUCUCUUGCAAACCAUGACUUACAAUUAGCAACCAAUUAUCAAAAAAGAAAUAACAAAAAUGGGUACAUGUUGCCACAUAUAUAGCAUGGCCACGGUCUUUAAUUGAAAAGAGACAUGUUCGAUAGAUAAAGGUCAAGUUGAUAGCAAGACGAGAUCAGCUAGUUUCUUUGUGCUUUCUCUUUUUAGUUAUAUUAUGCAAAUUUUGAGCUAGAUAAAAGUCAAGUUGGAAGCCUCAAUGCAGCAUGAUAUUAAAAUAACUUUCAACUAAACAAAGCAGCAACCCACAAAUAAAUAAAAAUAAUGAUACGAUACACCCACAUUUAUUUGAGCAUAUAUCUCAAAUCAUGUAGCACAAGGACUGAUACUAUCAUAUCCGAUUUAUUAAGCAAAAUAGACAUUGUUUUAAGAGAUAAUUUAUUUUGAACUGAAUAGCUAAAAAGCUUCAAACAUUCUAGAAAUCAAGGAAAGCACUAUAUACUCUGAAACCUAAAAGAAUUUCUUUCUUUAACAUUGACAAAUCCAAUCCCGACAAAACAUAGAACAAUGAAAAGCAUCAAAAGUCACAAAUGUUCACGGUUGAAUUCAAAUUCUUAGGCAACUUGGGAAGAUGAGAUCAUAAAUUUAAAACUAUUUAUUCGAGGAUUUUACCAAAUUAAUGGCCUAUUUAUUCAAGGAUUUUACCAAAUUAAUGGAUUUUACAACUUCCAAGUAAUGACAUUUCAAACAGGUCAUAAAUUAUUAAUAAUAGACGUUAUAACUACUAAGGCAUAAGCAAUAUGCAUGGAAAACCUUAGACAGUGAAAUUUAAGCUCAUAAACUGAGAUAUGGACGGAAUGUAGAAAGGAGCGAGAGAUUCAACUAAAAGAUUCGUUUAUGCAUACCUUUAGUAGAUGAAAUUUAAAUGAUAGUAAGUUAACCAUCAUCCUUUCAGAAACACAGGAUAUUUAUAGUGUUGCCACAUGGAAGAGUGACAAGCAACUGAAAAGGUAUAAAUUAAUAUAACGAAGAACAACUACCAAAAUCCAACUGCUACUUAAACCAUAAAAGAUUCCUUGAAUGAAACCAAGGCCAAGCUUUUGCAAAGCAUAAUUCCAAACUUUUAUUUUAAAUCAAUAACCAGAACAUAGAACUCACAUCAUGCAAGCUAAAAUUGAAAGUUCAAAAUAGAUCUUAAGCUAAAUAAAAUAAAAAUAGAAUAUGUGAACAUUAACACCAUGUGCAGCCAGAAAAAUAUCUGAAUGGCAUGCAUGAUGUUAGAGAUAUUUAGGAGAACAUGUGAACAUCUUUUGAAUGUACCUUGUCAACUACCUCUAGCAAGAGCAAUAAAAAAUGUAGUCAUUUACAGAAAGCUACAAAUACAAAAACAAUACUAAUUUAACAAUUUUUCAACAGAAUGAAAAGACAAAAAAAAUAAAAAAUAAAAUAUGUCAACAUAUUCUGAAUGAGCCAGACAAGCACAAGGACACAAAGAAAAAGAUGAAAAUUUGAAGAAAAAUUUUAAUAUGGGCCAAUGCAUCCACGGAUUCAACAAAUCAAGCCAUAAAAUUGUAAAUUAUUGAUAAUUCAGAUUACAAAAAUAUAAAUGAUUCGGACACGGACAGAAAUCAACACGUCAAAAUUGUAACAAAUAAAAUACGGUCGAAGAACAAAUGAUUCGAAUGAUUCAAGGAACAAAAAUAAUACUAAGCAGACCUAAUAGUUUAUGAAACAAAUGAUUCGAAUUUACCUCAAUAAAUGUGAAUUUUUGCUUAAUCCUUU
rnacentral:lncRNA from 1 species